UUCUCAGAUCGCACGGCCUUGCGCCGGCGACGGUUCAUUCAAAUUUCUGCCCUAUCAACUUUCGAUGGUAAGGUAUUGGCUUACCAUGGUUUCAACGGGUAACGGGGAAUUAGGGUUCGAUUCCGGAGAGCGAGCCUGAGAGACGGCUAGCACAUCCAAGGAAGGCAGCAGGCGCGCAAAUUACCCAAUCCCGACACGGGGAGGUAGUGACAAUAAAUACUGAUACAGGGCUCUUUUGGGUCUUGUAAUUGGAAUGAGUACAAUUUAAACCUCUUAACGAGGAACAAUUGGAGGGCAAGUCUGGUGCCAGCAGCCGCGGUAAUUCCAGCUCCAAUAGCGUAUAUUAAAGUUGUUGCAGUUAAAAAGCUCGUAGUUGACCAUUUGGCCUGGCUGGCAGGUCCGCCUCACCGCGUGCACUUGUCCGGCCGGGCCUUUCUUUCUGGAGAACCGCAUGCCCUUCACUGGGCGUGUUGGGGACCAGGACUUUUACUUUGAAAAAAUUAGAGUGUUCAAAGCAGGCCUUUGCUCGAAUACGUUAGCAUGGAAUAAUAGAAUAGGACGCGCGGUCCUAUUUUGUUGGUUUCUAGGACCGCCGUAAUGAUUAAUAGGGACAGUCGGGGGCAUCAGUAUUCAAUUGUCAGAGGUGAAAUUCUUGGAUUUAUUGAAGACUAACUACUGCGAAAGCAUUUGUCAAGGAUGUUUUCAUUAAUCAGUGAACGAAAGUUAGGGGAUCGAAGACGAUCAGAUACCGUCGUAGUCUUAACCAUAAACUAUGCCGACUAGGGAUCGGGCGGUGUUAUUUAUUUGACCCGCUCGGCACCUUGCGAGAAAUCAAAGUGUUGGGU
rnacentral:rRNA from 1 species